AAACCAACAGGGAUUGCCUUAGUAGCGGCGAGUGAAGCGGCAAAAGCUCAAAUUUGAAAUCUGUCUUAUGACCGAGUUGUAAUUUGAAGAUGGUAACUUUGGAAUUGGCCUUGCUCAAGUUCUUUGGAACAAGACAUCAUGGAGGGUGAGAAUCCCGUGAUGCAGGGGUCCCAAUUCUAUGUAAAGUGCUAUCAAAGAGUCGAGUUGUUUGGGAAUGCAGCUCUAAGUGGGUGGUAAAUUCCAUCUAAAGCUAAAUAUUGGCGAGAGACCGAUAGCGAACAAGUACUGUGAAGGAAAGAUGAAAAGAACUUUGAAAAGAGAGUGAAAUAGUACGUGAAAUUGUUGAAAUGGAAGGGCUUGAGAUUAGACAUGGUGUGUAAUGUUCCACAUUUCCUUGGAUUUGUGUACUCAUUACAUACUGGGCCAACAUCAGUUUUGACAGAAGGAUAAAUGAUAUGGAAUGUAGCAGCUUGCUGUAUUAUAGACAUGUCAAAUACUUCUCGUUGGGACUGAGGUCUGCAUUUUAGGAUGUUGGCGUAAUGAUCUCAAGCCAC
rnacentral:rRNA from 1 species